GAAGGGAGCUUGCUCCCGGAUGUUAGCGGCGGACGGGUGAGUAACACGUGGGUAACCUGCCUGUAAGACUGGGAUAACUCCGGGAAACCGGAGCUAAUACCGGAUAGUUCCUUGAACCGCAUGGUUCAAGGAUGAAAGACGGUUUCGGCUGUCACUUACAGAUGGACCCGCGGCGCAUUAGCUAGUUGGUGAGGUAACGGCUCACCAAGGCGACGAUGCGUAGCCGACCUGAGAGGGUGAUCGGCCACACUGGGACUGAGACACGGCCCAGACUCCUACGGGAGGCAGCAGUAGGGAAUCUUCCGCAAUGGACGAAAGUCUGACGGAGCAACGCCGCGUGAGUGAUGAAGGUUUUCGGAUCGUAAAGCUCUGUUGUUAGGGAAGAACAAGUGCAAGAGUAACUGCUUGCACCUUGACGGUACCUAACCAGAAAGCCACGGCUAACUACGUGCCAGCAGCCGCGGUAAUACGUAGGUGGCAAGCGUUGUCCGGAAUUAUUGGGCGUAAAGGGCUCGCAGGCGGUUUCUUAAGUCUGAUGUGAAAGCCCCCGGCUCAACCGGGGAGGGUCAUUGGAAACUGGGAAACUUGAGUGCAGAAGAGGAGAGUGGAAUUCCACGUGUAGCGGUGAAAUGCGUAGAGAUGUGGAGGAACACCAGUGGCGAAGGCGACUCUCUGGUCUGUAACUGACGCUGAGGAGCGAAAGCGUGGGGAGCGA
rnacentral:rRNA from 1 species